ensembl:lncRNA
AGCUAAUCAAGUUUGCAGAUGACACCACCGUUAUUGGACUCAUCUCGGACGGGGAUGAGUCUGCCUACAGGAGGGAGGUUGAACGUCUGGUGUCCUGGUGCAGCCACAACAACCUGGUGCUGAAUGCCCAGAAGACAGUGGAGAUUAUUGUGGACUUCAGGAAGCACACAGCCCCACUCCCCCCCAUCAUCCUGACUGACACCCCAUCACCUCUGUGGACUUAUUCCGCUUCCUGGGUACCACCAUCACCCAGGACCUGAAGUGGGAGCCCACCAUCACCUCCGUCAUUAAGAAAGCCCAGCAGAGGAUGUACUUCCUGAGGCUAAUUGAGACACUGACCGUAAAAACAAAGAACACCAUCACCACCAUCAUGGUGACCACACCCACAAGUCUGACACAACUGUACGUCAUCAAUGCUCCAGCAUGUCUUUAUCCUGUCUUCCUUCUCUCACCCCAACCGGUCGCAGCAGAUGGCCCCGCCCCUCCCUGAGCCUGGUUCUGCCGGAGGUUUCUUCCUGUUAAAAGGGAGUUUUUCCUUCCCACUGUCGCCAAAGUGCUGCUCAUAGGGGGUCAUAUGAUUGUUGGGUUUUUCUCUGUAUCUAUGAAGCGCCUUGAGGCGACUUUUGUUGUGAUUUGGCGCUAUAUAAAUAAUAUUGAAUUGAAUUGAAUUGUAAGAAUAUAAGCAAAAACCUGUACAGAGGAUUAUGUGUGUCCUGUUGGCACCUUCUAAACAUCACAGAGUAGCAUCAUCCUUACCACCAGCUGGGGGCAUUAGAUCGUAGAACUCUAAAAUCUCUUUCUUUCUUUCAAACAUUAAAAAUGACAAACCAACAGGAGGAUAAAUAAAACAUUUU